rnacentral:rRNA from 1 species
GGAAAGGCGCGCGAUACAGGGUGACAGCCCCGUACACAAAAAUGCACAUGCUGUGAGCUCGAUGAGUAGGGCGGGACACGUGGUAUCCUGUCUGAAUAUGGGGGGACCAUCCUCCAAGGCUAAAUACUCCUGACUGACCGAUAGUGAACCAGUACCGUGAGGGAAAGGCGAAAAGAACCCCGGCGAGGGGAGUGAAAAAGAACCUGAAACCGUGUACGUACAAGCAGUGGGAGCACGCUUAGGCGUGUGACUGCGUACCUUUUGUAUAAUGGGUCAGCGACUUAUAUUCUGUAGCAAGGUUAACCGAAUAGGGGAGCCGAAGGGAAACCGAGUCUUAACUGGGCGUUAAGUUGCAGGGUAUAGACCCGAAACCCGGUGAUCUAGCCAUGGGCAGGUUGAAGGUUGGGUAACACUAACUGGAGGACCGAACCGACUAAUGUUGAAAAAUUAGCGGAUGACUUGUGGCUGGGGGUGAAAGGCCAAUCAAACCGGGAGAUAGCUGGUUCUCCCCGAAAGCUAUUUAGGUAGCGCCUCGUGAAUUCAUCUCCGGGGGUAGAGCACUGUUUCGGCAAGGGGGUCAUCCCGACUUACCAACCCGAUGCAAACUGCGAAUACCGGAGAAUGUUAUCACGGGAGACACACGGCGGGUGCUAACGUCCGUCGUGAAGAGGGAAACAACCCAGACCGCCAGCUAAGGUCCCAAAGUCAUGGUUAAGUGGGAAACGAUGUGGGAAGGCCCAGACAGCCAGGAUGUUGGCUUAGAAGCAGCCAUCAUUUAAAGAAAGCGUAAUAGCUCACUGGUCGAGUCGGCCUGCGCGGAAGAUGUAACGGGGCUAAACCAUGCACCGAAGCUGCGGCAGCGACGCUGAUGCGUUGUUGGGUAGGGGAGCGUUCUGUAAGCCUGCGAAGGUGUGCUGUGAGGCAUGCUGGAGGUAUCAGAAGUGCGAAUGCUGACAUAAGUAACGAUAAAGCGGGUGAAAAGCCCGCUCGCCGGAAGACCAAGGGUUCCUGUCCAACGUUAAUCGGGGCAGGGUGAGUCGACCCCUAAGGCGAGGCCGAAAGGCGUAGUCGAUGGGAAACAGGUUAAUAUUCCUG